GAAUAGCCCCGAUAGGAGUGUAAAUCCUGUUAUUGGGAGAUUGCCGCGCAAGCUCGCAAUGACAGAUUGUAACGGAUAGCGGGAACAAGA
rnacentral:sRNA from 1 species